rnacentral:lncRNA from 1 species
UUGGACGUGUGCUUGUAGAAGGCCAGUCUGAAGAUGCCUUGUAUAAGAGAGACGCAGUCACCAAGCCUUCAAGGUCCCCUUCAGUGGUGAGAUUUACCGUUUGCCCCUAGCAGGUUGCCCUGGAGGAAUAAGAGACGGGAGGAAAAGAGACCCCAGCUGCCCAAGGCCUUGUGUCCACCUCUGGUCAAUACUUCUGAAAAAACUGCUUCCAGCUAAGGAGCACAACUUGUCCCAAGAACCCCCGAUGGUCCCUGGGUGAGAUGAACUGGACUAGUCGCAGUGUUUGGGCCCUCAGAGACAGCAAUGCGUCCAUGGAGAAUCUCACCCACUCACUCUUACCAGGCAACACCACCCUGAUGCCAGAGACCAGCGUCAGCACGGCAGCCAGCACCCUCUCCGGAUCCAUUGGUGUCAUGGCCCUCGUCUUGCUCCUGGUGGGUCUCCUGGUGGUGAUCUUGAAGAAAUGGAGGCAUGAGAG